GUGAGGAAUAUUGCGCAAUGGAGGCAACUCUGACGCAGCAAUGCCGCGUGAGUGAUGAUGGCCCUAGGGUUGUAAAGCUCUUUUACCAGGGAUGAUAAUGACAGUACCUGGAGAAUAAGCUCCGGCUAACUCCGUGCCAGCAGCCGCGGUAAUACGGAGGGAGCUAGCGUUGUUCGGAAUUACUGGGCGUAAAGCGCGAGUCGGCGGUUGUUUAAGUCAGAGGUGAAAGCCCGGGGCUCAACCCCGGAAUUGCCUUUGAAACUGGAAAACUUGAAUCUUGGAGAGGUCAGUGGAAUUCCGAGUGUAGAGGUGAAAUUCGUAGAUAUUCGGAAGAACACCAGUGGCGAAGGCGACUGACUGGACAAGUAUUGACGCUGAGGUGCGAAAGCGUGGGGAGCAAACAGGAUUAGAAACCCUGGUAGUCC
rnacentral:rRNA from 1 species